ACAAGACACCAUGACGAGCGACAUGCGACGUCUCCGGCUAUUCCGCCUCCGCAUGAGCAUAACUCAGGGAUGCAGAAUACAAUGAACUACGAUUUCAAUUCGUCGUAACUCCCUCCUAUAAUGAAUGUAUAUGAGGAGAGAACAAUAAUAGAUGGUGAAACCAUUAUGUCAAGCAAGUGGCCUUGCACGUGUUUCUAUGCAGACUCGUGCCUUGAUCAAGAAGAUGAAGAAGAAGAGAGUAAAGAUUCAGCUACUGCUGAGAUAACAACCUAUGGUAGACUCUCCAAUUGAGAUAUUGUGACGGAGAAGAAUUGUUGAUGUAAGCAAGGAACCUUACUUAACAAUGUUAAGUUGAUUUGCUUCAUAGACAAGGCCAUCUAAUGUUAUUAGUACAAGUGGAACCAUCAAAUAGGAAC